UACGAAGGGGGCUAGCGUUGCUCGGAAUCACUGGGCGUAAAGCGCACGUAGGCGGCUUCUUAAGUCAGGGGUGAAAUCCUGGAGCUCAACUCCAGAACUGCCUUUGAUACUGAGAAGCUUGAGUCCGGGAGAGGUGAGUGGAACUGCGAGUGUAGAGGUGAAAUUCGUAGAUAUUCGCAAGAACACCAGUGGCGAAGGCGGCUCACUGGUCCGGUUCUGACGCUGAGGCGCGAAAGCGUGGGGAGCAAACAGG
rnacentral:rRNA from 1 species